rnacentral:rRNA from 1 species
UACGUAGGGCGCAAGCGUUGUCCGGAAUUAUUGGGCGUAAAGAGCUCGUAGGCGGCUUGUCACGUCGGGUGUGAAAGCCCGGGGCUUAACCCCGGGUCUGCAUUCGAUACGGGCUAGCUAGAGUGUGGUAGGGGAGAUCGGAAUUCCUGGUGUAGCGGUGAAAUGCGCAGAUAUCAGGAGGAACACCGGUGGCGAAGGCGGAUCUCUGGGCCAUUACUGACACUGAGGAGCGAAGGCGUGGGGAGCGAACAGG